ACACUGCAAAACCUUGUCAAAAUAGGAUAAUCUAUCCAAAAUACAAACCUAGACAUACAGGAAAGGAUUUAUGCAACUUUCUCCACCAAAGCAGAAAAGCACUAAUAUGUGUUAUGUACCGUGGAACAAUGCAAGAAUUAAAGAAUAUAAAGCCAUGGACUGAGGGAACUCUGGUUAGUUGCCUGUUGCCCUUAACUUUGUGACUUUGUUCUGCUUCAUCUUCUGUAAGUGCCUGGUCCUGUUGAACAUAGCUACAAAGCUGCUGACACA
rnacentral:lncRNA from 1 species